UUCAAAACAACAACUUGAAAUAAUGUCAAGAUGAAGCGGUGAAUAUUUAGUUCGAUAAUGUGAAACUUAUAAACUAAAAAAAAGUAAAGAACUAGAACAUCUACAUAGAAGGAGAACGACGUGUACAGAAAGGAAUUGUUCAGAUAUGACAGCCUAGUGGAACUCGCGCCACCAUCCCCACAGGAUGAUACUUCGUUCUUUUUUGCGGAAAAAUAUUUGAAAAUCGUUCAUUCGGUGGUUUAACAAGGUUACCACAUCUUUUUUGGGCCAAAAAGUUGCCAUCUACAUAUAAAAAUUAAUAUGGCAUCAAACAAUUUAUCGGCUGCUUACGAGCAUGUGUACACACAAAUGUGAGUGUGUGGAUCGUUCUGAAAUUCAUGUAUGUUGUCGCAAUUUCAACCAAAACCCACCCCUUCGUAAUUAAUGGUGUAUGGUGGUGUGUAAUUAAUGCAGUAUUUAUUUGUAAAUAUAAUUAGACUUUUGCACUGUUAUAAUGUAAAUAACCACAACUUUCCAAAAGCUGUUUUCAGCAUCUUCAACCCUUAUCCAAAUAUUGUUGUUGUAAUUGCAAGACCAAAAGCACAACACAUUCUUUCACAAACCGUAUUAUUUCGUACUGAUUGAUUGAGUUGCUUGUUGUGAAAGAAACAUUUAUUUUUCGUUCCAAGUAUAUUUAUUUAUAUUUAAAAAAUACUUUCUUAUUUAUAAAUACA
rnacentral:sRNA from 1 species